UACGGAGGGUGCGAGCGUUGUCCGGAAUCACUGGGCGUAAAGGGCGCGUAGGCGGCGCGGAUAGUCGGCGGUGAAAGCCCGGAGCUCAACUCCGGGUCGGCCGUCGAUACUUCCGGGCUUGAGCACUGUAGAGGCAGAUGGAAUUCCGGGUGUAGCGGUGGAACGCGUAGAGAUCCGGAAGAACACCGGUGGCGAAGGCGGUCUGCUGGGCAGUUGCUGACGCUGAUGCGCGACAGCGUGGGGAGCAAACGAGGAUUAGAAACCCG
rnacentral:rRNA from 1 species